rnacentral:rRNA from 1 species
GUCUACAGCCAUGCCACCCUGAACAAGCCCGAUCCCGUCUGAUCUUGGAAGCUGAGCAGGGUCAGGCCUGGUUAGUACUGGGAUGGGAGACCACCUAGGAAGACCAGUGCUGUAGGUG